ACUUAAGGACCACAGGCCCAUUAUUUGAUUUGCACUCAAAUAUCUUCUUUAAGCCCU
rnacentral:tRNA from 1 species